rnacentral:rRNA from 1 species
CAGUCGCCACGGUAAUACAGAGGAUGCAAGCGUUAUCCGGAAUGAUUGGGCGUAAAGCGCGCGCAGGCGGAUAGGUCAGUCUGUCUUAAAAGUUCGGGGCUUAACCCCGUGAUGAGAUGGAAACUGCCAAUCUAGAGUAUCGGAGAGGAAAGUGGAAUUCCUAGUGUAGCGGUGAAAUGCGUAGAUAUUAGGAAGAACACCAGUGGCGAAGGCGACUUUCUGGACGAAAACUGACGCUGAGGCGCGAAAGCCAGGGAGCGAACGGGAUUAGAUACCCGAGUAGUCCCUGUCUCUUAUACAC